rnacentral:rRNA from 1 species
UACGUAGGGGGCGAGCGUUGUCCGGAAUGACUGGGCGUAAAGGGCGUGUAGGCGGCUUUUUAAGUCUGGAGUGAAAGUCCUGCUUUCAAGGUGGGAAUUGCUUUGGAGACUGGAGAGCUUGAGUGCGGAAGAGGUAAGUGGAAUUCCCAGUGUAGCGGUGAAAUGCGUAGAGAUUGGGAGGAACACCAGUGGCGAAGGCGACUUACUGGGCCGUAACUGACGCUGAGGCGCGAAAGCGUGGGGAGCGAACAGG